AUCAGUUCGUUAUGUGGCUACUCGUGCAUUUAUUUGUCCAAGGCCUCAAGAACAAGCGCCCACGUUUUUCUAGUAAAGGACUGGAUGAACGUUACAGGCUGCUAUUUAAACUGUCUUACGUAGGUAGCUGGAUGAAUGAGAUUUUAUUUACUGGCCUAAGGAGAACUCGUAAAAUAUUUUAUUACAGGAUAAAAAAAAAACAAGUUAAUGUCUCUUUUAUGAGAUCAAAACUCUUCCAACAGAGGCAGCUCGUUAUGUCAGCGGAGCUGCGCUGUGCAGGGGGCCGGAGUGCCGACGCUUCUAAUGCGGUUCAGAGGGUUAUUGUUUUGGCCAGCUUUACGUUCAAGAGGGCAUCGCAGGCUUCGACAAACAUAAACACGACAAUUUAUGUACCCUACAGUUCAAUUCGCUACACAAAAAAAAUGUCCUCAUUACAGUUUUAAUGAAGGGCAAUAAAUCUCGGCAAUCGUAUAAUCUCGGGUCGUAACACAGCGAGACUUCAGUGAUAGCAAAACUGUGCGCGGUCAAAGAUUUUUUUAAUGGAGGUUUUCGCGUUCGUACUACUUAAGGGAAUACGUCUCAUUGUGCUAUUUGAAGUUCUUUCCAGUGCCAGAUUAAGCGAAAGGGAAGCGCUGGGGGAACCGGAUUUCAUAGCGACCCCACUAUUAACUGGGACGGCUGGCAAACGACGCGAGUGACCGUUCCUGACCCACUAAAGUCGCCAGCUUUCUUCCGCAUUUCCAGAUUUGAAAUCCCAAACUUUACGGUGCGGGAUAUUUUGAUACAGAGGCAGAACCAACAAGAAAACUUUCAGGAAGGACUCGAUCAAACGUCCCAACUCUUGAACUGACAACUUCAGGACUCCACAAGCGUCGUAAAAGCACGAGGAGAAGCCCUGGAACGGAAGAGUUUAACGGCGGAAUCCUGCGCUCAAGUUCUGGCACAGCCUCGCGCACAAGGCCCUGCCAGUCGCUGCAAGCGCUUAUCCGGGCGGCCGGCACCUGUCCCAAAUCCUGCAAAUGUAUCAGUGUCGCUGUUCUUUAUUCAACCGAGAGCAGUCUGUGUGAAAAGCAAGAAUUUCUACGGGUUUUUUUUUCACCUUUUGUAACUCUUCUGUUUAUAAAGCGACUGUGCUGUUUUAUGUUGGGUUUUUUUUUUCCAAAUCGAAUUUGGUUUAGUUGUUAACAGUUAACAGUGCGUUGUCUUGAACCUACGGAGCAAUGAAUUUUGGAUUUUUUUUAUUGCAGUUUCCUUACUUUAAUUAAAAGCUCUUCUUUUCCCUG